rnacentral:ncRNA from 1 species
GGUGGGAGCGUUGGCCUUUGCAAAUGACCUGGUUCUGGAUAGGAACCACGGUGCGAGGGACCCAGUUGGCGGUGGAUCGGGUCGCGGAGGCGUUGGGUGAAUUUGGUCUACAGCUGGCGCCAAACAAGUGCGCCGCAUUCUCACUGAUGCCGGCCGGAAAAACCAAAAAAUUGAAAACACUGACCGACACGGUGUUUCGGACGAUGGACGGUAUGAUCCCGCAGGUGGACAUCGGACGGUCAGUUAGGUAUCUGGGGGUCCGUCUUGGAGAUAAAGGUAUAAUGACAGAGGAUAUCGACCUGGCCCCUCUCCUGGAGCAGGUACGCAGGGCUCCGCUGAAGCUGCAGCAACGGCUUGAGAUAUUAAGGACAUUUAUAAUACCCAGAUAUACGCACAGGCUCGUUCUUGGGCGAGUGACGCACGGAGCGUUGCGGAAAAUGGACAGACAGGUGAGAGCAGCGGUGAGGUGUUGGCUGGCCUUCCCGGGGGACGUGCCCAUGGCCUUUUUCCAUGCGCCCAUAAGGUCUGGAGGGCUUGGUGUGACGUUGUUCGAGUCCGCUAUACCGGAGCUCGCGCUAAGAAGACUGCAGAGUCUCCGCACGUCGGGCCGUGGAGUGGCAAGUAUGGUCGCUGAUAGUGGGUGGGCGCAACAACGAGCCAAAUGGUACGGUAUGGCAAAAAGAAGGAGCGAGGACUAAGCUAAGGAACUGUACAGAGCAGUGGAUGGUUACGAGCUGCGUGAGGCGGGACUGAUACCGGCUUCCACAGACUGGAUAAGAGAUACGAUGGUCCACAUACCUUCUUCCGAGUGGCUCCACUACACAAAAGUGUGGAUAAAUGCUUUGCCGACAAGGGUUCGAACUACAAGGGGACCAAGACGCCUUCGGGGGGAUGUUCUCUGCAGAGCAGGAUGCGGGGUCCGGGAGACGGCGGCGCACGUCGUUCAGCAGUGCUUCCGGACGCACGGAGGAAGGGUGAUGCGCCACGAUGCGGUAGCAGCAGCGCUGGCCCAUAACUUGCAGGAGCGUGGAUAUAAAGUCAAGCGGGAACACUCGUUUCAAACGAGUGAAGGAACCAGAAAGCCGGACAUCGUGGCGUCUAGGGACGGACGCGCAUGCGUCUUGGACGUGCAGGUGGUGUCUGGGGCCCGACAAUUUGAGGAGAGCCAGAAGAGGAUGCGAGACUACUAUGCGCGAAACAAUGACCUGGUUCGGGCGGUUUCUAAUAUGUUUCAGGUCCCACUCCAGAGAGUUGAGGUGGCAACGGCGACGCUAACGUGGCGGGGAAUAUGGUCGGGAACCUCUGCGGCGGAUCUGAGUGCCUUGAGCGUCCCACAGUCACUAAUGAGAGGCCUGACAACUAGGGUAAUAUCCGGCUUUUAUAGAAAAUUUGCAAGGUUCAAUCAAACAACAAUGGCCCAAGGACAACGGUACAUGAGGAUGUCAGGCUGGCGACCGCCGUGACCCAAAUACCCUUUCUGUAGCCGUAUCCAUGCGGCACAUUGUAUAGUACAUAUUAUGUAUAAAUACGAUGUAUGUAAAUAGUGUAAACAUAACAUGGAAAAUAAAAUGUUAAAUAGCCAAAUGCCUUGUCAUAUAAUUAGUGACGCGCACGAAAGGAUUAACGAGCUUCCCACUGUCCCUACCUACUAUCUAGCGAAACCAUUGCCAAGGGAACGGGCUUGGAAAAAUUAGCGGGGAAAGAAGAACCUGUUGAGCUUGACUCCAGUCUGGCACUGUAAGGAGACAUGAGAGGUGUAGGAUAAGUGGGAGAUGGCAACAUCGCCGGUGAAAUACCACUACUUUCAUGGUUUCCUUAAUUACUCGGUUGGGCGGAGCGCGUGCCCUGAGGGCCUCGUGCCCAGGCAGUCACGGUGUUCUAGAGCCAAGCGUGUC